UGCGAUCAUGUGUUUCCCACACUUACCCUCUCUAAGCCUCAGUUUCCUUAUCUGUGAAAUAACACUAGAAACAUUAAAUCUCUGGUUUCAAAAGAUUUGAUGAAGUAGGAUUCUUGACUUACAGAAAUUAAAUGGCGAGGCUUGGCACAUGGCUCACACUUGUAAUCCCAGCACUUUGGGCGGCCAAGGCAGGCAGAUCACUUGAGGUCAGGAGUUCAAGACCAGCCCGACCUUGUGGUGCCUUUCUCUCCCAUUGCUUUUUCUUCUUUCCCAGAGAAACCUGGCUUCUGUUGAGUGAGAAUCUGGACCUGAUGGUGAUGCUACCAUCUGUCAGANNNNNNNNNNAAAAAAAAAAAAAAAAAAAAAGAAUUUUUCGACAGUGACAGCAGAGUAUUAAACCAAAUGCAGGGCUCUUAGCAUGCGGCCCCGUGUGUCCACAUGGGUUGUACACAUGAAGCCAGCUCUGCCAGGCACUCUUUUAAACACUUUACAAAAGCCCACAUUUCAUUCCCUUCUGAGCCUAGUUUACAAAGCAAGAACCCAGAUAGUGCUAAAUUGCCAGAGGGCACACAGCUAGGAAAUGUCCGAGUGACUCGAUCCCAGCCC
rnacentral:lncRNA from 1 species